GUGCUUGCUUUGACAACACAUAUACUAAAAUUGGAAUGAUACUGAGGAGAUUAGGUCCUUACACGAGGAUGACAUACAAGUUCAUAAAGCACUCUCUAUUUUU